UGGGGAAUUUUGCACAAUGGGGGAAACCCUGAUGCAGCGACGCCGCGUGAUUUAGAAGGCCUUCGGGUUGUAAAAAUCUUUUCUAUGGGAAGAAAAUGACAGUACCAUAGGAAUAAGGACCGGCUAAUUACGUGCCAGCAGCCGCGGUAAUACGUAAGGUCCGAGCGUUGUCCGGAAUCAUUGGGCGUAAAGGGUACGUAGGCGGGUAAGCAAGUUAGAAGUGAAAUCCUGUAGCUCAACUACAGUAAGCUUUUAAAACUGCUCAUCUUGAGAUAUGGAAGGGAAAGUGGAAUUCCUAGUGUAGCGGUGAAAUGCGCAGAUAUUAGGAGGAUUACCGGUGGCGAAGGCGACUUUCUGGCCAUAAUCUGACGCUGAGGUACGAAAGCGUGGGUAGCAAACAGG
rnacentral:rRNA from 1 species